rnacentral:rRNA from 1 species
UCCCAACCCUUUGUGAACCUUACCUACCGUUGCUUCGGCGGACCGCCCCGGGCGCUGCGUGCCCCGGACCCAGGCGCCCGCCGGGGACCACUCAAACCCUGUUUUUGUUUUUUUCAAAACAUGUGUAUCUUCUGAGCGAGCCGAAAGGCGUCAAAAAAACAAUCAAAACUUUCAACAACGGAUCUCUUGGUUCUGGCAUCGAUGAAGAACGCAGCGAAAUGCGAUAAGUAAUGUGAAUUGCAGAAUUCAGUGAAUCAUCGAAUCUUUGAACGCACAUUGCGCCCGCCAGUAUUCUGGCGGGCAUGCCUGUCCGAGCGUCAUUUCAACCCUCGGGCCCCCCUCUGCGGGCGGCCCGGCGUUGGGGCUCAGGCGCCGUCUCUGCUCGGCGCCUGUCCCCUAAAUGCAGUGGCGGCCUCGCCGCUGCCUCCUCCGCGUAGUAGCACAAACCUCGCGGCUGGAAGGCGGCGCGGCCACGCCGUAAAACCCCCCAACUUUACCAAGGUUGACCUCGGAUCAGGUAGGAAUACCCGCUGAACUUAAGCAUAUCAAUAAGCGG